GCCGCGGCGAACGCGGGCCCGCGAGCUCGGCGCCCCGCUCCCGGGCGCGACGGCGGACACCGCCCGGCCCCCGUCCGGCCCCGAAGAGCGGCCGUUAGCGGCCGUUGGCGCGGAGGGGCGGGGCGGGGGCGGACGGAGAUCUCGCUCUCGCUCUCGCCCCGCGGGAAGGGGGAGUGGAGGCGCGACCGGCUGCGGGAGCUGCAAUUACCGUGUGGGCUGCGGAAUUCUCGUGGUGUUUGUCGGGGAGAUGCGAUAAUGGCGUCCGUCCUCGCGAGAGAAGCCGCCGCUCAGCGCAGGCGCCGCGAGCACCUCCCCGCGCCCCGCGCCCCACCCUCCGCGCAGCCUCCCAGGGGGCUGGGGCGGGUCUGGGACCUCGGGGGCGGGGCUUGCGCUGGCAUCUUCUGCGCGCCCUGGCGCUGGAAUGUGCUUGAUGAGCAUGCGCACGCGUCCCUCUCGCCUGUAAGGGUUGACUCCCUGGAACGCCGACUUCCCGGUCUUACGCCCGGGCUGCUCGCCAGUGCGGGGGAAAUCGCUUCAGCAGGCAGUGUGAGAAAUGUGCAUCCUCUCCAGGACCAAGUGAAUAGGCUUUGGCUCUCCCGACGACUACACAUCCCAGGAUGCCCUGCGCCGCCCGCGCAAAGCGUCCCGGGACUCGUAGUCCCCGCGUACGCGCCGUGCAUGCUGGGACUUGUAGUCCCUCCGGAGUCCGGCCACCGCGUCCCGCGCCCGCGCCUAGGGCUGCUGGGACUUGUAGUCACGCGCGCUGGGCUGCGCUGUGAGCCUCGGGGUCCGCCUGAGUUUGGUGCUCGCCCACCUCCUGUGUGGCGGGCAAGUGCGCCGUGGAAUGUGAACCCGCGGUGACCGAGUGCGCGCUUGCCGGGGUCGCGCCCUCGCUCUCCUCGCGUCCCCGCCCCGCGUGCUGGCGACUGACGAGAGGCCUCGGAGCCCCUGUCGCCCGGAAAGCAGGUCCUCCGCCUGGACUCCGCCCGCGGUGCAGAAAGGGCAAAGCUGGGGCCCGAUCCAGCCGCCGCGGUUAAGCCUCCUUCCCAGAAUAGCACCCAGGCCCUGCGCCCAUCCAGGUUCAGGACGCCCUGGAAUAAUGCUGGGGCCCAGCGAUCUCCCCACUGUCCGAACCAUAGGCCUCGCAGGAGAACACCGAGCCUUGGCCACUGUUCAGGUUAAGGGCCAAGAAUAAUCCUGAGGCUCAGACACAGGCUGGUCCUGGGCGUUUAACAGCAAAAGCACCUUAAAGACCUUCCAAGGAAGGGACCAUGGGUGCUGGACAGACAGUGGUGUUUAAAAGGGACCAGGCCUCUCCAGAGGCCAGGAGGAGGGUCAAAGAAAGGAGAGAAAUUGCUCAGCAAGAUCUCCUGCUGAAAGGGGAAAGGCUGGGUCUAGAAUCCGGUGAACUAGAAUCCUGUUGCUCAGCAUCCACUUUGAAUAUAAGUUGGACUAACUCACGCAGAAGCAGGGCUCAGUUCCUCAGGCCUUGGGCCGGUUCCUGGGCCUGCAGCCUGCUUGACUGGUCCUGCUGACCCCAGCCCCCUGGACUGUGUGGGCAUGCCAUAGCUGCCCUCUCAGUCACACCUCACCUGGAGCUGCUGCUUGCUUUUCACCCUCAGGGUGAGGGGGGUUGUGUGUUACUUCAAAUUGUUGGGAGGUGCUGACUGCAGGCAUAAAGCACAGUUACACGCCCCCUCAAGUGUUUUUGUAAAACUUUGUGUCCAUGGGAAAGACUAAUAAUAACAGUCCUGCUAAGAAAGUGUUCACACUUACCACUGUUGACUGGCCUCAGGUCCCAGGUGUGAACAGGCUCCCACAUGGUGUGAACAGUCUGAUUGCCUUCUCUUUCUAAAAUUAUGCUUCAUGGUUCUUGGUAAACAAAUGCUGGCUUCCUGGUCAAUUAUCCUGUUAUCAACUAUCACCUGGAGCGGCUCUCAGCAGGGAUGACUCAUGAGGCUCCCUAGGUUCCCUGAAGACAUCUACAACCCUGCCCCACGCCUGACCUGAAGAUGCUAGUGCUGAUGUCCUGAAGGUUCAACCAAACCCCUUCCACCGGGUGAGGGGAGAGAGAUACAGAUAAGAGUAUCUCAGUCUGCUCUCCAUCCCUCCCAUCUCUGAACUCUGUUUUUUCCCAUUGCUGGGCAGAGUCUUGAGAAGGGUCCCCAGCAAUGACACACAUACUUGGCUACCUUAAUAAAUCUCCUUGGAGAGAAAAUGCCUGUUUCUCCUUAAUUUCUGCAAAAUUCCCAUUGCUCAGGUCACCUGGCAAUGCUGUCCUGAUUGGCUGAGCCUGAAGUAUGUCAGAGAAUGGGGUCAGCCCACCCCUGAGCCAUGUGGACGGGGGAAACUCAGAGGAAGUUAGCAGCGGACAGGGCCUAACUAUCGCCGGCAUCAGUAGCCUUUGUCCUCAGCUCAUGCCUGAAUGCACAGGAACACCAGUGUCCACAUUGAUGUGUCCAUUUGGUGGUCCUUUCCUCCAGCAGUUGUUGACACACCUUCCAGAAGGAGAGGCUGAAUGCUUACAGCAGCACAGGAAGCUCUUCACUCUGGGUUGCUGGCUGCCGGGUUUCCCACCUUCCCUGCUGCCCUUCAAACGUGGGACAGACUGCAGUUGAGCCAGCACCUCAGCCAGGCAAGUGACAGCUUGAAGCGCCCUAUAUCCUUCUAUUUUUUUUUCUAUUUUUGUAGCAUUGCUGCUACAAAGCAUCCCUUGGGCAUGGAUGGCAGAGGGAACAGGUGUGUGGUCUGCAAAGUCAACAGAGGUGUGCACCCAAAAUCAUGCUAUGAAAAAAUCCAGGGGAGAAGAAAUGAGCCGGCAAACCCACCAAGAAAUGUCCAUGUGUCUGGAAAAUUUUAAUCCAAUGCGGGUCUAUGCUAUUUGUUUUUAACUAGGAUGUAACUGACCUCUGCACUUUGGGAUUGUCAGGGGAGCAUUCGGUUACAUAUAGAAAUGGAUUUCCAUUUCUGUCACAUAAAAAUAAACACUUCUCUGGGAGCAGUGAUGCACCCAACAUCAUCCCAGCGGCUCAGGGGGCUGAGGCAGGAGGAUGGCAAGUUCAAAGCCAGCCUCAGCAACUUAGUGAGGCUUUAAGCAACUUAGACCCAAAGUAAAAAGCAAAAGGGGCUCCAGAUGUGGCUGGAUGCAUGAGGCACUGGGUUCGAUCCUCAGCACCACAUAAAAAUAAAAUAAAGAUAUUGUGUCCACCUAAAACUAAAAAAUAAAUUUAAAAAAAGAGAUUGUGUCCACCUAAAAAUAAAAUAUAAAAAUAAAUUUAAAAAAGAAUGAACUGCCCCUUGACAAGAGGGAUGCAGGGAAAUUUAGGGCUGCUGUCGAAGAGUGGGCU
rnacentral:lncRNA from 1 species